AAUCCCUAAAUCUACAACCAGAAAGGGAAAGAAAGGGAACGGGGAGCUCGAGGGGAAACAGAAGGGAAGAAAGAAGGAAACGAAGAACAGAGGGAGAGGGUGAGGGAACAGAGGAAGAAGAGAGGAAGGAGGAUCGCUGCGCCGUGCUGCUCCCUGCGCCGGUUGCCGUCGCUGUCGCCAGAGCCAGAGGAGAGAGAGAGAGAACGCUCACGAGGGAGAGGAUAAACGCGAGGAGAAGGAGAGCUCCUGCGCGAAGGACAGCGCCGCCACUCCGUCACCAUCGUUGUCGCGGCUGGAAGCAUAAAGUUCGAACAGAGAGGGAGAAACCGCGAGUGAAGGGUGACGCUGGGCCUCUGUUGCUGCUGCUAUCACCAAGCUCGCUUUCGUUGCCGCCGAAGGCCAAGGCCCUAUCGUCGUCAUCGAUUCUGCCUGGAGCCGCCACCCACUUGUCACAGCGAGUUAGUUACUUUGCCGCCGCUGAAUUUGCCGUGUUGAGACUGAAACUGCCACUUUGACUCUGGGCUGUAAUUGUUCUUAAUUCCCAUCCAAUUUGAAUUCCCUGUUUUGUUAUAACUAUCAUUACCGUUGUGGAAUUGUCGCCGUUGCGAGUAUGAUUACAGAUAGUGCCAGAAUCGGAUUUGCGUGGGAAUUGCCACUGCUGAGUCAAAAGGAAAAGCCGCUCACAGCGUUUAAUCUUACGAGUUUCGACAUCGAGAUUUCAAAAAGGUAUUGAUCCGGUUCGGUUUUUGAAACCGAACAGGGUUGCCGAUUUUUCCAAAACCCGUAGGGGUCAAACCGGGUAAACAACCUGAGAUCGGACCUCUUAGCGAAUUUUGAUGGCAGUUUUGAAUUGAAGAAGCAAGAAAUCCUGAAAAGAUUAUCAUCGCCCGAGUUAUCAGAAAUAUUGGAUUUUUUUGCUUUUUGGACUUGAUAAAACUAUGUUCUCUUCCCUUCAAAGACCUUCCACACUUAGCUAAGCUUGUUGAUACUAUUGCAAAAGAACGCUCAAGCUUCAUUCAGAAUCUUCCCAAAUUGGUAAGCUAAGCUUCAAAUUCCUUGCAUAGUAUCUCCGAUUGAUGCGAAUAGCGGCCAUGGAUCAACUCAUUUUCCGAACUUAGAUGUGGAUAACAAUGAAGAUUAAGCAAUGAAGAUUAAGCUGACUAUUAUUGUGGUUUAUUGGCUAAGAAAGAGUGCUAUUUAGAAUCUUUACAUGUAUGGUUGACUAAUGACUUUUAUUAAAAGAUACUUUUAUUGGCUAAGUGAUAUUAUGGUUUUGAUAUGACUAUGCUUAUUUUAGUGUGAGAUGUAUGAAUUUUUACAGUUAACUUCAUUCUAGUACUUUUGGAUCAAUAUUAUAAAUAUAUUUUGGUU